AGGCUGACCUGCUUUUUUCACUAGAUCACAGUCCUUCCUCCUGCAACAAAGUUCAGGCACUUUUAACCACCAAAGAUGUCCUUUACACAGAGCACACCACCUCCGCGUUCAGUAACUGUGAGGAGAUGUUACCAUAGAAGACAAACAGGUCAUGUCCUCUGUACUUUUUUCUGGGAAUAUCAAGAUUUAAAAGGUUUAGUUCUAGUUUAGUUCUGCAAAAAGUUGUUCUGUGGUAUAUUAACAUGGCAUAUUAAUUUGUCUUUUCUUAUUUCUGAAAUUUGAUUCAGCAUGUCUUCAUCUUUAACUACCAUCUUCUAUUAGAUAGUAUGAUAUAAUGUACGUGUUUGUAUUGCAACUGAAUGACAUGUUUUGUUGCACAUGACAUUUACUGUAUCACACUCUCUGUUUUGUGUUGUAUGCUUUUCUUCCUGCCUUUCUCCAGAACACUAUUAACAAGGAAAACAAAUCUUAUCGUCUUCUGCAGUUUCACCAUCAUAAGGCUGGACUAAAAGCAACCAUGCAUGGGUGUCAGUCUUUUUAACAAGUUGAGACAUGGGCAUCUAAACACAGCCUAUUUACCGACAGCUGUGUUGAGCAACAGCUCAGAGAUGUGUGUGUGCAUAAAUGAGCGUGUUGCAGAGAGUAUCCUCCCUAACACCUGAGGCCAGACAGCGACUGCAGAAAACAAGAACCUCUGUCAGUGUGUGUCACUGCAGACGAAGCUGAUUCACAGAUUUCCAUGAAAGACACUAAGUGAUUCUGGAUGGGGAUGGUAAGAUGACCGUCUGGCUCUCCAGCAGGGUGAAUUCUUCCAAAGGUUCAAGUGGUUUUCACUUUGGAUCCUUGAGCUGAAAAUGUAACGGGAAAAAUUCUUCCACAAGUUUUGUGUAUGGAGAUUGACAUAUGCUGGGAACCACAGAUGGACAAACAGAUGUAAGAUCACGAGUCUUUCUCCUGAUGUGUCCACCCACUUCACAUGACAAGACUGUGCCAGGAAGGAAGAGAGCGAGGAAGGAAGCGUCAAUCAGUGAAAAGUGGUCCAUCGACAAGAGUUCAAAGGUCAGCACUUCAUUGAAGAGGUAAUGUCAGACUGAAGAUGGAAAAAUGAAGAUGUGGGGGUGAUGAAGAGACUGAGUUGGCAUUUUUACGACUACACCCAACUUAAAGAUAGACUUCAGUUUAAAUUCUCCUCGCCAAGAAAUAUCCAUGAUAUGCAUAUUUUGUCUGAUAAUGUGUUAAUAUGUGUUCCUCAUAAACCCAGCUGCUUCCUGUUGAAAGUUUUUUCCUGCACUUUCUUUUUCUGCCAACUGCAAAUUCAAGACAUUGUCACCUUCUUAUUCUACCUCUGGCUUUGUGCAGUCAAGCUGAUUUCCUGUGGAGUGAUGCAGUGUUUUAUCAUGCGAUGUGAAACACUGUAUUGACUGGAGGAGGCUUAAGUCUUCUCUCAGUUAAUUUGGCAAAUUCUUGACAUUAAUAUGCUACACCCAGCACCUUCAAUGAAACAAUCAAGAAUUUCCAAGAAUUCUGUUGUUUGUGAAUCAUUAAAAUCAAUAGUAACAUUUUAAUUACCCUCCCAAACAUAAAAGACUGACCAAAAGGGUGGUGACUUUCAAAAGCCAAGAAUACAGGAACAAUAUAUUUUUGUUGUAUUAUAUAUAUUUGUAUUUUUUUUAUAUUUGUACUUUUGGUGGGUUCCUUCACAAGCCCAAGAGUGAGGCUCCCCAGACAAAUGGCUUCCUGUCUGUCUCACCCAGGAUGCUCAACAAGUUGUAAACACAUGUAAGGUGUUGAUGCUGCAGAGAGAAACACAUGGACAGCAGUUUGUACGCCUGGACACCAGUCAAGUCAGGAUGUGGUUUGUCACUGAGGUAUGGCAAACUGUCCUGCACAGCAGAUCCUCUGACCUCUGGGGAGCGGGCUCUCCACCUGAACUCCCCAGCCUCCUGUUAUAACUCCUGUGACUUGUGAUUAGGUUGUCUUCCAAUAAGACACUACAGAGAGAGUGAUUGCUUUUGACUUUUGAGAGUCACUAUAGAUCUACAAUACUGCAUAUAACAUUGUACCAGUUGAGCGAGAGUCACUGUAGUUUUUCCUCUCCAGGUUAACAGUGGUUUCUUUAAAGGAAAAAAGUAAGUAAAAAAGGCUGUAAUACAUUUUACAGUCCUUGUAAGCAGAUAGAGGCACAUUUAAAGUAUUUAUUAAUGUACUUGUUCAUACCCAUGACUCCAUCCAUGAGGCAAAAUAGAUUAUUCUUGACAUAAUUGUAUGUAUCACAAAAUGUUUAAUAAGUGUCUUACUUUGAGCAAUAGGGUCAAGAGCAUGUUAGAACAGUUUUAUUUCACAUUAGAAACUUCUGUAUUUUUGUUUUUGGUCACUGGUGUGAGGUGGAGAAGGCUCAGUUAAUCAAGACUGGAUGGUAGUUGGUGGGUGUUGCCUUUUAAACACUAACUAGCUUAUUUAGUCAUAAAUGUUUAAUUUCAGUAAAACACUUAAGACUAUAUGUUUAAGACUGCAAGUAUAUUCAUAAUCUCAUCGUUGGACUGAGGGCAGACUGGACACUUCAGAGACUCACUAUUGUGAAGUGGUAUUAUGAGACAGGACGGGCCGUGGCUAACUGGUUAACGUGCUGACUUUAGUAUAAUAAAAGAGGUAGAAAUAGAGGCAAAACAAGAGUUAACAUUGGUUCCCACCAAUAGAGACAGCUCCUGGUGGGUAAAGGAAAGAAGUUUGAUGCUGUUUCUUCUAGGCUAGGAAGUAAACAGCUGUUAAUCCUAACACUGGCUAUGUAGCAAUACCAAAAAUAUGGUACCAAACACAUUUAUAAACAAGUUAAAAUUUGAUGUGAAUGAUUUGUAUGUGUGUAUUAUAAGUGAAUGAAUGCUUUAUACUGUGCUUUCAAAUGAUUAAAAACAGUAUA